GGGUUGUGAGGUUAAGCGACUAAGCGUACACGGUGGAUGCCCUGGCAGUCAGAGGCGAUGAAGGACGUGCUAAUCUGCGAUAAGCGUCGGUGAGGUGAUAUGAACCGUUAUAACCGGCGAUUUCCGAAUGGGGAAACCCAGUGUGAUUCGUCACACUAUCAUUAACUGAAUCCAUAGGUUAAUGAGGCGAACCGGGGGAACUGAAACAUCUAAGUACCCCGAGGAAAAGAAAUCAACCGAGAUUCCCCCAGUAGCGGCGAGCGAACGGGGAGGAGCCCAGAGCCUGAAUCAGUGUGUGUGUUAGUGGAAGCGUCUGGAAAGGCGCGCGAUACAGGGUGACAGCCCCGUACACAAAAAUGCACAUACUGUGAGCUCGAUGAGUAGGGCGGGACACGUGGUAUCCUGUCUGAAUAUGGGGGGACCAUCCUCCAAGGCUAAAUACUCCUGACUGACCGAUAGUGAACCAGUACCGUGAGGGAAAGGCGAAAAGAACCCCGGCGAGGGGAGUGAAAAAGAACCUGAAACCGUGUACGUACAAGCAGUGGGAGCCUCUUAAUGGGGUGACUGCGUACCUUUUGUAUAAUGGGUCAGCGACUUAUAUUCUGUAGCAAGGUUAACCGAAUAGGGGAGCCGAAGGGAAACCGAGUCUUAACUGGGCGUUAAGUUGCAGGGUAUAGACCCGAAACCCGGUGAUCUAGCCAUGGGCAGGUUGAAGGUUGGGUAACACUAACUGGAGGACCGAACCGACUAAUGUUGAAAAAUUAGCGGAUGACUUGUGGCUGGGGGUGAAAGGCCAAUCAAACCGGGAGAUAGCUGGUUCUCCCCGAAAGCUAUUUAGGUAGCGCCUCGUGAAUUCAUCUCCGGGGGUAGAGCACUGUUUCGGCAAGGGGGUCAUCCCGACUUACCAACCCGAUGCAAACUGCGAAUACCGGAGAAUGUUAUCACGGGAGACACACGGCGGGUGCUAACGUCCGUCGUGAAGAGGGAAACAACCCAGACCGCCAGCUAAGGUCCCAAAGUCAUGGUUAAGUGGGAAACGAUGUGGGAAGGCCCAGACAGCCAGGAUGUUGGCUUAGAAGCAGCCAUCAUUUAAAGAAAGCGUAAUAGCUCACUGGUCGAGUCGGCCUGCGCGGAAGAUGUAACGGGGCUAAACCAUGCACCGAAGCUGCGGCAGCGACACUAUGUGUUGUUGGGUAGGGGAGCGUUCUGUAAGCCUGUGAAGGUGUACUGUGAGGUAUGCUGGAGGUAUCAGAAGUGCGAAUGCUGACAUAAGUAACGAUAAAGCGGGUGAAAAGCCCGCUCGCCGGAAGACCAAGGGUUCCUGUCCAACGUUAAUCGGGGCAGGGUGAGUCGACCCCUAAGGCGAGGCCGAAAGGCGUAGUCGAUGGGAAACAGGUUAAUAUUCCUGUACUUGGUGUUACUGCGAAGGGGGGACGGAGAAGGCUAUGUUGGCCGGGCGACGGUUGUCCCGGUUUAAGCGUGUAGGCUGGUUUUCCAGGCAAAUCCGGAAAAUCAAGGCUGAGGCGUGAUGACGAGGCACUACGGUGCUGAAGCGACAAAUGCCCUGCUUCCAGGAAAAGCCUCUAAGCAUCAGGUAACAUCAAAUCGUACCCCAAACCGACACAGGUGGUCAGGUAGAGAAUACCAAGGCGCUUGAGAGAACUCGGGUGAAGGAACUAGGCAAAAUGGUGCCGUAACUUCGGGAGAAGGCACGCUGAUAUGUAGGUGAAGCGACUUGCUCGUGGAGCUGAAAUCAGUCGAAGAUACCAGCUGGCUGCAACUGUUUAUUAAAAACACAGCACUGUGCAAACACGAAAGUGGACGUAUACGGUGUGACGCCUGCCCGGUGCCGGAAGGUUAAUUGAUGGGGUUAGCGGUAACGCGAAGCUCUUGAUCGAAGCCCCGGUAAACGGCGGCCGUAACUAUAACGGUCCUAAGGUAGCGAAAUUCCUUGUCGGGUAAGUUCCGACCUGCACGAAUGGCGUAAUGAUGGCCAGGCUGUCUCCACCCGAGACUCAGUGAAAUUGAACUCGCUGUGAAGAUGCAGUGUACCCGCGGCAAGACGGAAAGACCCCGUGAACCUUUACUAUAGCUUGACACUGAACAUUGAGCCUUGAUGUGUAGGAUAGGUGGGAGGCUUUGAAGUGUGGACGCCAGUCUGCAUGGAGCCGACCUUGAAAUACCACCCUUUAAUGUUUGAUGUUCUAACGUGGGCCCCUUACCGGGGUUGCGGACAGUGUCUGGUGGGUAGUUUGACUGGGGCGGUCUCCUCCUAAAGAGUAACGGAGGAGCACGAAGGUUGGCUAAUCCUGGUCGGACAUCAGGAGGUUAGUGCAAUGGCAUAAGCCAGCUUGACUGCGAGCGUGACGGCGCGAGCAGGUGCGAAAGCAGGUCAUAGUGAUCCGGUGGUUCUGAAUGGAAGGGCCAUCGCUCAACGGAUAAAAGGUACUCCGGGGAUAACAGGCUGAUACCGCCCAAGAGUUCAUAUCGACGGCGGUGUUUGGCACCUCGAUGUCGGCUCAUCACAUCCUGGGGCUGAAGUAGGUCCCAAGGGUAUGGCUGUUCGCCAUUUAAAGUGGUACGCGAGCUGGGUUUAGAACGUCGUGAGACAGUUCGGUCCCUAUCUGCCGUGGGCGCUGGAGAACUGAGGGGGGCUGCUCCUAGUACGAGAGGACCGGAGUGGACGCAUCACUGGUGUU
rnacentral:rRNA from 1 species